CCUACGGGGCGCAGCAGUGAGGAAUAUUGGUCAAUGGGCGCGAGCCUGAACCAGCCAAGUCGCGUGAACGAAGAAGGUCUUCGGAUUGUAAAGUUCUGUCCUUAUCGAAGAGAGGGUAUAGAGUGAAAAAUGAUAUACUAGGACGGUAGAUGAGGAGGAAGCCCCGGCUAACUACGUGCCAGCAGCCGCGGUAAUACGUAGGGGGCGAGAGUUGUCCGGAAUCACUGGGCGUAAAGGGCGCGUAGGCGGUAAUAUAAGUCAGAUGUGAAAGGUGGGGGCUCAACCCCUAGAGUGCAACUGAUACU
rnacentral:rRNA from 1 species